rnacentral:lncRNA from 1 species
AUAGAGCACCAGACCAGCCCCAAAUCGAGCAUUCAAGGAUGUUGUAUAAUCUAUAAGGCGAGAUGCAGGAGGCCACACUUGCACUUAGCUGUGUAAUUCAUGAGAGAUGAUGGAAAGGCAAGUUUCAUCCAUCCUUACUUUCUACUGCGGGGUAACCUGGGGCUCAGCAGCUGUUCUUGGCUGGACAUUGGAAGUACCUCAAACUUUCCAUCAAAGAACAGAUUCUUCCUCAUUCCCACUCUGAGAAGAUCUCACCGGGUCGGAGAACCAGUCCUUAUAUCUGGGAAAGGAAACCCAACCUCUCAACAUCUAGCAUUUCUCACCUCUAGAACAGCAUGGGUUUACUCAAGGUUUGAAGUAGCUUUAUUGAAACCUACUUGACAUGUAAGAAUCUGUGCAUUUCCAGUGUUUGAUUCGGUGAGUAUUGGUGUGCAUGCAUCUGUGAGACUGUCACCCAACCACGGUGGAUAUACCUAUCCCCAUCCAAGGUUUCUGGAACUUGGAUUUGGUUCUUUCCUUCCACUCUUCUAUUCCCUCUCAUCCUCACUAUUUCCAGGCAAUUCCUAUCAGCUGUGUGACACUUCAGGUUCUCUGGCAUUUCCUAGUAUUAUAUGGAAAUAAAAUUAUAUAUUUUGUAUUCUUUGUUUGCUUUUCUUAUCUCAUUAAGCAUACUUACUCUGGUAUUCAUUUAUGUUUUAUCAACAUCUCUCUCUCUCUUUUUUUUUUUUUUUGCUUUGUAGUAUUCUAUUCUACCUUUAUUCCACAAGUUGCCUAUUUCUUCAACUGUUAGUGGAGGUUUGAGUUGUUUAAACUUCUUACUAAAUAAAGUUUCUGUGAACAAUGAUGGGCAAGUCUCAGGAUGAACUAAUUUAUUCCCUUUUCUUGAGUGAAUAUUUGGGAGUGCAGCGGCUCAAUACGAUGGUGGCUAUAUGUUUAAUGUCUUUUUUUUUCCUGAGUUAUCAACUUUUAUCAUUAUUCACACGUUUUACAGAAAAAGAAUGAAGCAGAGAGUUUCAGGGCUAUAUGAAAAUGAAUCCAGGGUUGUAUACCUCACUCUGUCACAAAUAACUGGGAGUAAAGAUGCCCCCACAUCAGGCAGAGUGGCUUGCGCUGGCCAGAUGUCCUUUUUGCUAGCACAGCUCUGGGCUCUCUGAGAGUGGCCUGUGAGGUGGCAGGAGCAGCGUCUCUUUUUGCAGCAAAUCCUACACAUGGACCAAUA